rnacentral:rRNA from 1 species
UACAGAGGGGGCAAGCGUUGUUCGGAAUUACUGGGCGUAAAGGGCGCGUAGGCGGCCUUCUAAGUCGAACGUGAAAUCCCCGGGCUCAACCCGGGAACUGCGUCCGAUACUGGAAGGCUUGAAUCCGGGAGAGGGAUGCGGAAUUCCAGGUGUAGCGGUGAAAUGCGUGGAUAUCUGGAGGAACACCGGUGGCGAAGGCGGCAUCCUGGACCGGCAUUGACGCUGAGGCGCGAAAGCCAGGGGAGCAAACGGG